rnacentral:tRNA from 1 species
GCCGGCUCCGUGGCUUUAUGGUUACGGCAUCUGCCUCACAAGCAUAAGGUUCAGGGAUCAAAUCCCAGCCCGGUA